GACGAACGCUGGCGGCGCGCCUAACACAUGCAAGUCGAGCGGAGCUGAGAGAAGCUUGCUUUUCUUAGCUUAGUGGCGAACGGGUGAGUAACGCGUGAGUAACCUGCCCUGGAGUGGGGGACAACAGUUGGAAACGACUGCUAAUACCGCAUAAGCCCACGAUCCGGCAUCGGAUUGAGGGAAAAGGAUUUAUUCGCUUCAGGAUGGACUCGCGUCCAAUUAGCUAGUUGGUGAGGUAACGGCCCACCAAGGCGACGAUUGGUAGCCGGACUGAGAGGUUGAACGGCCACAGUGGGACUGAGACACGGCCCAGACUCCUACGGGAGGCAGCAGUGGGGGAUAUUGCACAAUGGGGGAAACCCUGAUGCAGCGACGCCGCGUGGAGGAAGAAGGUUUUCGGAUUGUAAACUCCUGUCGUUAGGGACGAUAAUGACGGUACCUAACAAGAAAGCACCGGCUAACUACGUG
rnacentral:rRNA from 1 species